UGGGGAAUAUUGCACAAUGGGGGAAACCCUGAUGCAGCGACGCCGCGUGGAGGAAGAAGGUCUUCGGAUUGUAAACUCCUGUUGUUGAGGAAAAAGAGGAUGGUACUCAACAAGGAAGUGACGGCUAACUACGUGCCAGCAGCCGCGGUAAAACGUAGGUCACGAGCGUUGUCCGGAAUUACUGGGUGUAAAGGGAGCGCAGGCGGGUAUGCAAGUUGGGAGUGAAAUACGAUGGGCUCAACCCAUGAACUGCUCUCAAAACUGUGUAUCUUGAGUAGUGCAGAGGUAGGCGGAAUUCCCGGUGUAGCGGUGGAAUGCGUAGAUAUCGGGAGGAACACCAGUGGCGAAGGCGGCCUACUGGGCACCAACUGACGCUGAGGCUCGAAAGUGUGGGUAGCAAACAGGAUUAGAUACCCCAGU
rnacentral:rRNA from 1 species